AUGGCGGGGCUCAGCGCCCUUCCCCGCCACGCCCUUCCCGCUGGCCCCGCCCCUCCCCGGGGUCCGCGCGCAGCCGCCGCUGCCGGCGCCGGGGCGGGCCCGGCGGGGCGGGGCGGGGCCAGCGAGGCGCCGGCAUCGCUCCAGCCCGGCCGUCACCGGCGAGCCCCGGGUGAGGAGGGCAGGGGGCCGCCGGGAUCCCUCCGACCGUCACCGGGGCGAGGGGGGGUGGUGUCUCUCUGUGGGGGGGGCGGCGGCGGCGGGACCGGGCAGGCCAGCGCCGCUCCGGUCCGGUUCCCCCCCCUCCCAGGCCGCGGCCUGCUUGGAGCCGGUGGGCGCCGGCCGGGCCCGGCGACGGCUCGGAGGGUCCCUCCCUGCACCGGCGGCGGGGGUUGCAGCCGGUGGCAGUGCCGGCGGUUAGGGCGCUGCCCGGCGCCGGGCAGGGCCGGGAGCCGCGGGUCCCGGCGGGCAGGGCCGGGAGCCGCCCCGGUUAAACCCUACCCUCCGCCCGGGCAUUGCACCGCGGGGGGGAACGGCCUCCGGGCCGGGCAGGGGCCGGGCGAGCUCCGCUCCCGCUGCCCACGGUGGGGGCAGGUGGGAAACGGCCCGUGUCUGCCGCCGGCGGGGAACGAGCCACGGGAACCGGGAAGAAUAGCCCAAAAUACCCUCUUCUCCCUUGGGGCCGGCCGUCUCCAGGGCCUUCGGGCUGGGUGUGGGACUGGCGGCUCAGGGAGAAUCACCAAAAGCAUGAUUGGAAGUAAUAAAUCUGUGCUGGGAGGAGGCGAGGGGCUGCUGGAGUCGGGAUGGACCCAUAGCUCCGGCCAGGCUGUGGGUCCGGGGGUGCGCAGCUCAGAGGUCCCCCAGGAGCAGCACCGGCUGCGGCUCGGGUGUUCCGGGGGAGCCCAGGGUGGGACACGCCAGCAGAGAUGGCUUCAGGAUGUCAUCCUCCUUCGCCGUUCCUUUCCAAUUUCCGUGUUUUUUGGUGCCCGUGCGUUCACGCGCAGAGUUUUGGGAAGACAUCUCAGCCUGCGGGGUCCCGUGGGAGAAGGUGCUCCUCAGGAUGCCCCUCCUCGGGGGGAGCAGGUCCGAGGCUAUUGGGCGCCUUUUCGGGUGCUCCGCCGUCACUCUUGUUUUGCUUUUGACCUCAUGAGUUUGAAAGGAAGCAAAUGA
rnacentral:lncRNA from 1 species